UACGUAGGGUGCGGGCGUUAAUCGGAAUGACUGGGCGUAAAGGGCGCGCAGGCGGUGUGUUAAGACGGAUGUGAAAUCCCUGGGCUUAACCUGGGAAUGGCAUACGUGACUGACACACUAGAGGAUGGCAGAGGGAGGCGGAAUUCCACGUGUAGCAGUGAAAUGCGUAGAUACGUGGAGGAACACCGAUGGCGAAGGCAGCCUCCUGGGCCAAUCCUGACGCUCAGGCACGAAAGCGUGGGGGGCAAACAGG
rnacentral:rRNA from 1 species